AUGGCCGAGCGCAGCGGAAAUUUGCGACGUUCUGCCCGCAUCAAAACUCCUUCGAAGCACACAACAGAGGAUUCUACGAAAGGAGUGCAACGGAAAACUAGAAGCCGUGGGAUUAGUCAUAGCAGUAUUGAUAAGGAACAAACUCCGGAUGAGCUGGCUAGAGAGUUGGAAGAUGAGUUGAAAAUUAUUGACGAAGAUGUACAGAAGCCAACAGAAUUAUACGCCGAAGAACAAGAUGUCAGUGGUGCCAGCAUGUAUCAUUUUCCAAACCCUUCCAAAACUGGAGGAAUGGCUCAAAAAGCUGCGCUCAGCCGAUCAGCAGCUACUCCUCAGACACCGAAGCAUAUUGCUAAGAAAAAAAAUGUUAUGGAUAUUGCACAAACCCCGCAUAGUGUUCGUAGCAAAUUCAAGAAACAAUUAGUCACUGUUGCUCGUCAUUUAUCUGGCGGAUCAUCUAGUGAGAGUGAAAGUGUUUCUGAGGAGGAUGAAUAUGUGCCAUCUGUUGAUGAGGCAUCUGAUAAUAGCGAAGAGAAAGAAGAGACAAAAAGUUCUGAAGAUUCGGAGAGCGAUGUAGAUGAUGAAAAAAUUCAAGUUAGAAAAACACCUGCAAAGGUUGUUGCUGCUUCACGUUUAUCAACUUCUAGACAAAAACGGAAUACGCGUGUCACUUACAACGAUUACCACCUGGAAACGGAUGAUUACUUCGAAAUGCAAUCAGAAAAGGUUUUAACUUCCGAUCGAACCCUGGGAAGGCUUGUGAACCCACGAAUGGAUGAAGAAAAGUUGCAAAAACUAUUGUCCAAGCAGAGCUAUGUUUCUAAAGAACAUAAAGAAGCCAUCAGAUCACUCUCGGGAGAUCACAGAGCUUUGUUUCCAAUGUGGCACUGCAUAUUGGAAGAAGGCUACAGUCUGUUACUUCAUGGUUUGGGAUCAAAAAGGAUUCUGAUGAACGAUUUUCAUACAGAAACUCUGUCUGAUCACCCUACACUUGUUGUCAACGGAUUUUUCCCUAGUCUUACGUUGAAAGAGAUACUGGAUGGUAUAAUAACCGAUCUUCUGGGGCUGCAGAGUCCGACGAAUCCAAACGAAUGUCUAAGCUUGAUUGAAAGUAUCCUCAAAGAGAAUCCCGAGGAUCGGCUUUACUUGCUAGUGCACAACAUCGAUGGAGUAAUGCUCCGCUCCAAUAAGGCCCAAGAUACUCUCUCGAUAUUAGCUAGCAUUUCAAAUCUUUCACUCAUUGCCUCCGUCGAUCACAUUAAUACGCCCCUCAUAUGGGAUAACGUAAAGCAUUCGCGGUAUAAUUUUUGUUGGUGGGACGUAACAACGAUGUUGCCAUACGACGCAGAGACGUCCUUUGAAAGCUCCAUUAUGGUACAGAGGAGUGGAGCACUCGCCCUCUCCUCUCUACUCAAUGUUUUCCUCUCCCUGACUUCGAACGCACGUGCAAUUUAUGUGCUUCUCAUUAAACAUCAACUAGAGCACGCAACUAGCGACACUUAUCCUGGUAUGCUAUUCAAGGAUCUCUACUCAAGCGCACGAGAGGCCUUCCUUGUUAGCUCGGAUACGGCUCUCAGGGCUCAGUUAACUGAGUUCAUAGAUCACAAACUAGUACGUUCCAAGCGAAAUUAUGAUGGUGCCGAGUACCUGAGUAUCCCGUUGGACAACGCAUUACUAAAACAAUUCCUUGAUCAGCAAGAAACCGCGUAGCGAAUUUGGCUGCUAAGCGAGCUCGGAACCAAGGGAUCACCAAUUUUCGUCUUAUGUUUCGAUGCGCUUUGUUUGA